CCUACGGGCGGCAGCAGUGAGGAAUAUUGGUCCAUGGACGGAAGUCUGAACCAGCCAUGCCGCGUGCAGGAAGACGGCUCUAUGAGUUGUAAACUGCUUUUGUACAAGGGUAAACCUGAAUACGUGUAUUCAGCUGAAAGUACUGUACGAAUAAGGAUCGGCUAACUCCGUGCCAGCAGCCGCGGUAAUACGGAGGAUCCAAGCGUUAUCCGGAUUUAUUGGGUUUAAAGGGUGCGUAGGCGGAUUGAUAAGUUAGAGGUGAAAUGUCCGAGCUUAACUCGGGAACUGCCUCUAAUACUGUUGGUCUAGAGAGUAGAUGCGGUAGGCGGAAUGUAUGGUGUAGCGGUGAAAUGCUUAGAGAUCAUACAGAACACCGAUUGCGAAGGCAGCUUACCAAUCUAUAUCUGACGUUGAGGCACGAAAGCGUGGGGAGCAAACAGGAUUAGAUACCCUUGUAGUC
rnacentral:rRNA from 1 species